rfam:Lactobacillus kunkeei strain LAko contig006, whole genome shotgun sequence.
UUAAAUGUGUUGAAGAAAAAUUAGUAGGCGACAAACAAUACAGAAAGACUGCAUUUGAUGAGAGUAGUCACAAGUCAGCUGAAUUCAUUUUCUGAACUGAUAUUGGGAGUUACAAUUAACGAAAAAUAAUCCGGUAUUCCACCGUUAUGGAUUUUGAGUGUAUGAAUUGCGAACCGCAAUUUAUAAACUAGGGUGGUACCGCGAAGCUUCGUCCCUUUU